AACGGACCUUAACGAUCCCCGAGUCCCAGCCCAGCGGAGCCACCUGUUCGGUUUCUCCUGGUAGAGGCGACCAGGGGGCACGUUGGCUCACAGCCGCAAUUCCCAUCCGCCAGGAGCAUCCCUUAUGCAACACUGGGAAAUGCAAAUUUGUCACUGCCCCAGUCCCUUCCAGCCUUACUGAGGGCUCAUCCACAGGCUCCCAGAGCUUCUGUUUGACUACAGGAGCUGAAGUUCCACUGGCUGUAAAAGAAGUGGACCCAAACAGAAAGCAUCCUAUCCCGCAUCCAGGGAGGAGUCUACAGUGUGUCAUCAGUACAGUAGGACCAGGUGGAGCUGUGAUAACCUUGGAGAAGUGAGGUCAGAUCUUUGAAAACUACCAGAGGAUGAGCAAAUCCCCAGAAAGUAGGAAAAGUAUUUGGGCUCCUGAUUUACUAUUGUUUUCUAAUGUUUGUGAAACCAGUGGGAGGUUCUGGCUUUAUACAUAUUGAGGAAUCUGUGCCACCAUCCUGACCUUCACAAAGGCAAAGAAGGAAGGCUCACAGGAUUUUAGGUCAGUCAGACCCUUUUCUUAAAUGAAAAAAAAGAAAGAACAGAAAAAAUACUUGAAGUGUGUACUUUCAAGUAUGAGCAAGUGUUAAGAAGCAGCUAAUAUAAAAAAUGUGAGAUUGAAUCAACAUCCUUUCCUUUUUUAUGACAGUCCAGAAAUCCUGGGCAAUAGUGUGCAUUUGCACUCAAUAUGACCUUUGAUCCUGUUCUUUGUGAUUUUCCCAUAACUGUCUAAGGAAAUACAGCCCAGUUAUGACACCUCCACAGUCCCAAUAAUUGGGAAUUUUCUCUUGUAGAGUGGUUACUAAUGGUUAGUGCAUGAGUUUGGUAAUAUCCUGUAUCUUUAUCAAUGGCCCAAUAAUGGAAUAACAAGGGUACACAGUAAAUUUAUCAGGCUGGAAGGGUCAGAAAGCCCACUGGGUAUUGGGAUUCCAUUAUGAGAUUAUUGUGGCAAGGUGAAUAAAUUACCUGAAACAAAUGAAAUAUCUGGCAAGAGAAAAAUAUCCAAGAGCAAUAAUCAUCUGUAUAAAUACAAACACAGGAACAGUUGGUUAAUCAGGAGUUCUGGGGUAAUCCUAGAUCAUAAAUUGACCAAGAAAUCAGUAACAAAAAGGUUAAAAAAAAUCCAGUGUACAAUGAAGGCACAGGAGCAUUGUACGUAAGACCUGUGCUGUAAUCCUUUUACUGUGCUGUGAGUCAGACCUCACUGGGAACACUUUAUUAGUCUGAUACAAUCAUUUCAAGAAUUAUCAACAGCAAACAGGCCAAAGGAAAGCAAGGGUAAUCUGAAUUUUGGAACCUGUGAUAUGUGAUUUGAAGAAUUAGGAUUCUUUAUACCGGUUUCUCAUGGGAAACAGGAACAGUCUUGAAAUACAUAAGAAUUGCUGGAAAGAGGACAAGAAUAACUGGUUUCUUUGUCCACUGUCAUUGAAUC